CGACGCAUGCGCCCGCCG
rnacentral:sRNA from 1 species